UCCUUUAUUACGCUCGAUACUUCGGCCGAAGAUUCCCGAAUCAUAUCUUAGAGUAUUCUUCCUCUCUUACCGAGGAUUAGAGAUUCCUUGUUGCGCAUUCACUUGCCUUCAUGACUAAGUGGCUUAACCCCAAUUAUGCCGUGGACAUCCGCGAAUGGGGUGACUUUGACAUAAUCAAAGAUUAAGUACUUAGCCACAAGACAACGACGAUGCCUCAGGUCAAAUGACUACUUACAUUAUUCCAACCAUUAGAGUUACUUGCUUGACAUGUGAGUAGACCUCCAUGCAAGUACUCUCAUUCGAUUGUGUUCAGUGAACUCAUUCUCUUAAUGAGCACCUACAUACUUGUCUUAGUGUCACAACACAAAUGGGAUGAGACUUUCCAUCCUUCCAUUUGAAGCGGACACAGUAUGUACCGGUCUAAGCAUUGUCAGUUUCCCUCCGACAAUCCAAUGACUAGGAACCUUUUGGACAUAAUGGUUAUUUGAAGAAGGUCUCUGUAGUCUAACAUCAUUAGAUUACUUCUUCAAUUGAUCCAUUGUCCAUGGAUACACUAUUUAGGACAUAUAUCGUUUAUUGAGAUAGUCCUAAUUCAUGUCUUUCUUCCAAAGAUUAACUUUCAGGGCAUAUUUCCAACACCUAACAUGUAAUAUUUUUUCGGUUCAGACUCGUUAUAGUAAAGUUAACAAGAGAAAGUGAUCGAGUCUUACGAAAGCUGAAGUCGUUUCUUAAUGGGGAAUGUCGAGGUCUUGAUCCUGCGGGUGAAUUGGUGUUUCUGUCGUCACUUCAAGCUCAACUUGAGGCAUUUUUCCACGAUCGACUGCAGGAGGAUCGACCUGGUCAAUC
rnacentral:lncRNA from 1 species